AAAGCCAAUCUAUAAAUCAGCGGUAUAUCACUUUCACUCAAACUGCCACCCGUUGCUUACCAAUUAUCAA
ensembl:ncRNA T24B8.17 ncRNA